rnacentral:rRNA from 1 species
UUGGAGGGCAAGUCUGGUGCCAGCAGCCGCGGUAAUUCCAGCUCCAAUAGCGUAUAUUAAAGUUGUUGCAGUUAAAAAGCUCGUAGUUGAAUUUCGGGAUUCGUCGGUUGCUCGGGCUUCACUGUCCGCACUGACCUGAUUGGUUCCUACCUUCUGAAUAACCAGCAUGCUAUUAAGUUAGUGCGUUGGGGAAGCAGAGCUAUUACCUUGAAAAAAUUAGAGUGCUUAAAGCAGGCUUGUGCUUGAAUAGAUUGGCAUGGAAUAAUAAAAUAGGACGGCAUGAUUCUAUUUUGUUGGUUUCUAGGAUCACCGUAAUGAUUAAUAGGGAUAGUUGGGGGCAUUGGUAUUCAAUUGUCAGAGGUGAAAUUCUUGGAUUUAUUGAAGACUAACUUCUGCGAAAGCAUUUGCCAAGGAUGUUUUCAUUAAUCAAGAACGAAAGUUAGGGGAUCGAAGACGAUCAGAUACCGUCGUAGUCUUAACCAUAAACUAUGCCGACUAGGGAUCGGACGAUGUUAAUUUUUUAAUGACUCGUUCGGCGCCUUACGGGAAAC